UUACUAUUGGAUGAUGACUGCCACGUGUCACGUUCUUAUUAGAUGUAAACUCCGUGAAAGAUGAAAUAUAUUGUUGUUUUCAUUGACCAAUCAGAACAUGAUAGAUGACAAUUAUUAUCC
rfam:Glycine soja cultivar W05 scaffold10205_1, whole genome shotgun sequence.